GUGUUUCAAAUGGAGCAUGGCCUGGCCCCAGAUGUAUACUAUGUUCUGGCCUGAUCUUGCUUUCAGUGUUUGUAUGGAAUGCACAUUAAUGGACGUAAAUGUUGCUGUGUUUCAAGGCAAAAGUAUCUUGACAUAUUUUCCUUUGUGUUUCAAGCAUCAGUGACACUGACAUCUCUCCUGAGUUGAGGCCUCUCAACACAUUGUCAAGGAUGUCACUUGCCUCCACACUUCCUCCUCCCUCUCUCUAGCCCACCUGGAAAAACCACAGUGGAUCUGAUAGCUCUCCGUGAGGACUGCCCACUCCAUAUAACGUGGCCCUGUCUCUGUACAGCUGUAAUGAAGUUUUCCCCAUGCACAUGGCCAACCCAGGCACCCCCUGACUCUGAUGCCCUGCCUAGGAAUUCUCCACUCUGCCAGGGAAGGAGAAUGAGAACCUUGAUUGGACUGAGCCUUUUGUACAGUGCUCACUGUGAAUUGUACAGCCCAUAAGGUGCAGAACUGUCCAGAUACAGCUGAAUGAUUACUCAGCAAGUGAACACCACUGAGUCAAGAAGCAAAAUACUGUACAGCCCAAGCUGCUGCAGACUCUUCCCCACCCCACACUCGCCCUUCCAGAAGAGACUACUUCUA
rnacentral:lncRNA from 1 species